UACGUAGGGGGCUAGCGUUGCCCGGAAUCAUUGGGCGUAAAGCGUGUGUAGGCGGUCCGGUAAGUCCGCUGUGAAAGUCGGGGGCUCAACCCUCGGAUGCCGGUGGAUACUGUCGGGCUUGAGUACGGAAGAGGCGAGUGGAAUUCCUGGUGUAGCGGUGAAAUGCGCAGAUAUCAGGAGGAACACCAAUUGCGAAGGCAGCUCGCUGGGACGUUACUGACGCUGAGACGCGAAAGCGUGGGGAGCAAACAGG
rnacentral:rRNA from 1 species